UGCAGCUGGGUCUGAUUCGCUUUGUUCUACUAUGGUAAACACUGGCCCAGAGGCUGCCAUAGAAACUGUGGUCUGUGGGCCUGUCUGCCUCUGCUUGGUCAGGGUCUACUCACGGACAGUA